GGAUUAGAUACCCUGGUAGUCCACGCCGUAAACGAUGAGAACUAGACGUUGGGGGUUUAUACCCUUAGUGUCGAAGCUAACGCGUUAAGUUCUCCGCCUGGGGAGUACGGCCGCAAGGCUAAAACUCAAAGGAAUUGACGGGGGCCCGCACAAGCGGUGGAGCAUGUGGUUUAAUUCGAUGCAACGCGAAGAACCUUACCUACUCUUGACAUCCUUGGAAUCCUCUGGAGACAGAGGAGUGCCUUCGGGAACCAAGUGACAGGUGUUGCAUGGCUGUCGUCAGCUCGUGCUG
rnacentral:rRNA from 1 species